GCCUUCUUAGUGCAGUAGGCAGUGUGUCAGUCUCAUAAUCUGAAGGUCCUGAGUUAGAGCUUCAGAGAGGGCA
rnacentral:tRNA from 1 species